GCUUCAGUUAUGUUUUUUACACUUCCACUUGCCACGUAUCCUAACACUCAUCAUCUAUCAUACUCUGUCAAAACUCAAAAGCAAACCCAGAGUAAUCAUUCUCGCUCACCAUCUAGAGAGGGAGAGAGAGAAGGGGGCGUGACGUGAGGUGCCGGUGUUGAAAGGUUGUGGUGGUGAGAGGGGUUGUGGCGGUGGCAAUGGUGGUGACGGUGACGGUAGAUACGAUGGUAGGAGGCAGCAACUUUGUGUAUGUUUGGGUAUGAGAUAAAUCACCAUUCUUCCACAAUCAUAAACCCUAACUUCCGAUUCUCAAUCAAUACGCAAUCGGGUACGCAUAAGGUUUACUUUUCAUUAAUCACAAAUUAGGUUUUCGUUCUUAUUAUUUUGAUUCUGUUCGGAUUUGAUGUUCACUUAUGAAUCGCAUUGGAAUUGUUCGAUUCAUGUAAUAAAUUGACUGAAAUUGAAGCGUUAAGAGUGAGAGUGUCACUAUUGUCGUUGUUCGAUUCACAGCGGUUCUGAUCUGAACUGUUUGUCCGAUUUGUUGAGGUAGACUCCUAUUCUGUAAUGGUACCACUAUAACAGUGAGGGAUAAUUCUGUCUGACUUGAGCGACAAUCAAAGUCCGGCGAAUUCAAAAUCCAUGGUUUGUUGCAUUGGCGAAGCUUGGGGGUCGAUUUUUCCCAAUUCCGGGGGGCGAAAACGUAUAUACCUAAAAGUUUCUAUACGAAAUAACACUACGCGUCGAAAAGUUCGGGGGGGGGGGGGGGGGGGCGCCCCUCCCGCCCCAAGGAAGCUGCGCCCCUGGUUUGUUGUAAGUUUUUUUUGGUUAAGUAAAUAUUUGAUGAUUUUAAAUGGACUAUUGUUUCUAUAUAGUAAAUAAAUGAAUGAAUUAAGAGUAAUGGAAUUGAAAGGCAUGUAUGUAUGUCAACGAUUUGGUUGUGAUAUAUAUAAUUUAUUAUAUUUAUACGUCCAAUUAUGAUACUUAAUCUAACAUGAAGGAGCUUCAAAAGGUCAAAUGGAAGACGAAUCUUUGUUCCACACAACAUCUAAAUUUGUAACAGAGAUGAUGUUUGAAGUUUUGAACCGGCCCUUUAAAUGGUCAAAUGGAAGACAAAUCUUUGUUCCACACAACAUCUAGAUUAUGUCCAAGUUGGUCCUCCCAUGCACGUUUUCUCAAUUUUAGUGAUUGACAAUUUUCAUUUUUUUUCUUUUGUUAUAGUUCUUUGUUGGCGGCAACUAGAAGUGUGUAUGUAAUCUUGCCUUCUUAUUUCCUUGAUUACUGAACCUGUCUAAAUAUUGAUCUACUAUAUGGUAAAACGUAUAUAGGCUAACAUUUGCUCUUAUUUGUUUAUAUUUUUUACACUAUGGCAUAUCGUUCUUUUAUAGAUUUUAGAUUUUAAGAAGGUGAUUAUUAUUAUAUACAUGCUUCGGUGUAACUUAACUUUUGUUUGCUUUGUACAUACUAAUCGAUAUCAAAUAUGACGCAACAAGAGUGUAAACCAUGAGGUGAGUUGAUUAAAGGACAGUUGAGGGACCUAGAAAGAAGAACACUUGAGGUGUCAAAUAGGUUAUGAUGAGUUGAGUGAAAACCGUCUCUUGAUGCGGCAAAAUCUGAAGACAGCAGGUCAAUAUCUGUAGGCAUAGCUACAAGCCGUAUGUCCUUACGAUUUUUGUUUCAGUAUUCAUUUGAGUUUAUCGUGCAGGUACAUUGCCUAAUUUCACGGGAAACUUAGCUUCAAUAGAUCAUUAGACACGUUACGUACGAUCUAGCGGCAAUUGCUACCAAACCCCGCCACAACGCGGCGGGGCUGUUUUCUAGUUAUAUCUAUUUGUAACAUUUGUUGGCAUAAAGAGUUGUAACUUCAGCUUAUUUGGUGUUAUGUGCUUUGUAUUGUUUAUGCAACUUUUUGCCAUUUCACUUUUUCUUUUUUUGUUUUCAUUUUACCAACACAACACAACUUAAAACCCUAGAGAGAGAUAAAGACAGAGUUAGAGAGAGAGAGAGAGUUAGAAGUUUGAAGGUGGCCUUUGCCUUCGGCCGACCAUUCUGCUCUGGCGAACGACCGAGAUGCCACCCCAGUAGUGUGAUUCUGUGGUCCUUUACGCGACUAGGGUUCCGACGGCUACACUAAUAAAUAUUACCCAUCUUCCCCUUCACCACCGUUCGAUCGCCAUUGCAUUCAUUGUGUUAAAUCCCCAAAUUUUGUUUCAGUGAUGCUUCUUCCCUGAUAUUUGGGAUUUCGGAGACCAUGCUUCCUUCAUCACAUGGUUUAGUAGGUGGAGAAAACAGGAAGGCGUAUCGGUUUAAGCCUGGGACUCAGGAGCUACAUGAGAUUAGGCGUUUGCAAAAGACGGUCACUCACGGUUGAUCUGCUCAUUCCUGCUGCUCUGUUCAUUUGAAUUAAAGCAUGGAUGGUAAAGGAGGGUAUGCAGAAAACAUGGUUGAUAAAGAGGUGUUGGAAGAUAGAUGAUCAAGCAAUUGCUAGGAAAAGAUAGAUUUGAAAGAAGAAAUCAAACAACUUAACUGAGAACUCACGUUACAAAAGGACACAUCCGAGUGAUUACGAAUGGAAAUCGUAGAUCCAUUUCAUCAUGGAUCGCGAAACAAAUGGGAUUCAUAAGUUGUAUAAAUAAUACAUACGAAGAAAACGCCUCGCUCGCACUCGGUAAAAUUUACAAGCCCCCGCGAGGCAACGUCCGCGGGUCUAAAUUCUAGUUUAUAUUUAAAUGUAAAGUAUUAAUAUAUAUACCACACAAAGAACAAAUA